rnacentral:rRNA from 1 species
AUGCAGGCGCUCCUACUCCCAUCGCGGCUGCCGCCGCCGCUGCUCCGGCAGCGAGGGCUUCCCGCUGUUGCGUCGCUCGCCAGCCAUCCCCUCAACGGAGCUACCCUCCCUACUGGGCGCCUCUGCUUCGGGGGCGGCGAAGCCGCUCCACGGCGCCUCACUGUGGCGGCGGCGGCGUCCUCGUCUUCGUCGGGCCCUCUCUACCCGCCGCCUCCCCCCACCGAGCAGACAAUUGAGCGCGCCAAGCUCGAGCAGGUUAUCAAGAGGCUAGAGAAAACAGCUAGGUAUUUCAAGAAUUUGGGUACCCUAGGGUUCUGGUCCCAGUUGGUGUGCACGUUUGUUUCUGCUGGAAUUUUGUCAUUCUCCACAGUUGUUACCGGGAAGGUUACAUCACCCUUUACAUUCUACACAACUGCUGCUGGCGUUGCUGCAGCUUUUAUUUCAGUCUUCUGGUCAUUUGGCUACAUCCGUCUUUCUGAAAGACUUCGGAAAACAGCAAGCGCACCCGCAAAGAUAUACUUCAGAUAUGGUUUUCUUUCAGAUUCGAAUAUUAAACUGUGGACUGAUUUCCAGGCUCCUCCACGGGCUGAUGUGAUUAAAAGUCUGAAAAAUGGCAUUGUGCUCAAUAUUCUUGGGAUGGGCGCAGCUGUUCUCGGUAUGCAGGCACUUGUUGGUGCUUUGGUAGCAAAAGCCCUUACUACCUCCGCAGUCCCCUAUUAUCAGGCAACUUCCGCCGGCCAAAGUCCUGUUUUGGCUCUAGAUGUAUUCCUGGUUCAGGCCUCAGCAAACACCAUACUGUCGCAUUUCCUAGGUGUGGCGACUUCCCUGGAGCUGCUCCGUUCCGUGUCAAUCGCCCCGACCGAGCCUGCUGCGACAUGA